AACUAGCACUCCUGGCACGACGACACACCCUGCUGAACUUUCUCACGCAACCUGCCGGGAAACGGGACCUGCCCGUUCACUCAAAGCAGUGAGCACACACUUUACAGCACAGCUUGUGUCCCACAGAUAUGCUGUUUGUGAAUAAUUCAUGACCCUCGUCUGUCACUCAUGUAACAGGUGGGAACCAGGAAGUGUGAAUUGCUGGCAUUAUAAAUACCGGCACCAUAAGGGUGCAAGAGCGCCAGGUAGUUGAUGUGUAGCUGUGUUUUGGUGUUUCUGUGUUCCCGUGGUUCCCCCUGAGACGAGGGCGAGUCGGCGGAUAUACUUUUGGACGUCAGUAUUCCGGACUCUCCCGAGGUAAUGUAAACUGUGUUUUCAAUGCAAUUGCUGUGUUAGAGUUGUUGUGGUGGUGCGGCGUAACCAGGUUUCUUUUGUUAUUGUAGGAAGUGGAACGCCGCCAGCCACUGUUUCUGGUAGUUGUCUUUCCCUGUGUUUAUAUCUUGCACAUUGUUUUUGUUGUUAUUGUCCCUUUUGUUUUAGUUUGUGUAUACGGAUGUUUUUAUUUGUCUUUACAGUUUUAAUAGUAUCGUGCAGCGUUUAGCUAGCUUUUAGUGUGUGUGUCUAUAGGAGCUGCGAGGGAGAGCGUCGCUAUUGUAGCUGCUCUGCUCUACAGAGCAUUGAACGCUUAGUCAAGUUGGGUGCUGGGUUGUGUUUUCUUUUUGAAUUGUGCACUAUUACAUUUGGUGUGGUGAUUUUGUUUAUAGUUAUACUUUUAAUAUAUUUACUUUAAUAAUUCACAUGUGGUUUCUCUUUGUUUAUUUUAUCACAGGUGGUGUUUGACUGCCCUUCUGGGUUUUGGUGGGUGGAGCAGCCAAAUAUUUAUUAAUUGGAUGGACGUUUCUCUAUCUCUCCUCUAGGUGUCGCUAGGGACAAUAAAUAAGCAAUUAUUCUUUUGUGCAAGAUAUAUGGUUAGGAUUGUGUUUGUUUUAUUGCACUGCAGCAAUUGUUGAUUUUAGUGUUUAUAAUAAAGAUUUUGUUGAAAAGAGCACAA